rnacentral:rRNA from 1 species
UACGUAGGGUGCGAGCGUUAAUCGGAAUUACUGGGCGUAAAGCGUGCGCAGGCGGUUAUGUAAGACAGAUGUGAAAUCCCCGGGCUCAACCUGGGAACUGCAUUUGUGACUGCAUAGCUAGAGUACGGUAGAGGGGGAUGGAAUUCCGCGUGUAGCAGUGAAAUGCGUAGAUAUGCGGAGGAACACCGAUGGCGAAGGCAAUCCCCUGGACCUGUACUGACGCUGAGACACGAAAGCCAGGGGAGCGAACGGG